AUCUCUGUAAUAUAGACUGCUUCCUGGAAAGGAAUGCUGCAUAGCUAGAGCCGUUUCCCUAAUUUGAUUUUGUGUCAGCAGCAUGUGGAAUUUCCUUCGGUCACUUAAUGUCAUCAUAUCGUAUAGGCAACAGCACUCGGGACAGCACAGCAGCGCUGCUUUAUGGCUGCAGCACAAUGUACUAAGCCAACUGAACCAUAAGUCUUAGGGCCACCAGUUGAAAAUUCAUCUGAAACGUGACUUCAGCAGUGCAAAUGCUCAACUUGCUGCUCAUAGGGCUACGUCAUCACAGUCUAACUGCCCUGAAUGUAUAGCGUGUCUCAGGUUACUGCCCCAGCAGACGGAAGAAAGAGAAACUAGCAGAGAGGUUUUGAGAAGUCCAGUCCAUUUUCUUUUCACACUGAGCUACUUUCAAGUUAUUUUUUGAAAUAUUCAUUGGAAGUUAGUCAGUCAUCUAUAAUAAAAGCCAAUGAAAGUGCAGAUGUAACUCCCUUAGGCUCUUUGGAAAUGAUAGCCCUAACUACCCAAUUUAUGUGCUUCUCAGGACACUUGGGUGUUUUAAAACUCUAUUUCCUUCCAAACCACUAACAUUACCUGCCGUAAUAUAUAUAUAUAUAUAUGUAUUGAUGAUUUUGAAUAUGUGGCAAAAUUGCAGAAAAGGUGCUUCCACUGCUGAUUUUGUAAAGUAUUAUGGAUUCUCAGUAUUUAAACACAAUUUAAAAAAUACUUUUUUUUUUCUUACCAAUAUCAGUCUGAGAGCUACUCUCACUAAAAAUUGUAGCUCUCUAUCUGCAAGAAUUACAUGUCAUUUCUUUGCAAUUAUUUCAAUUAGCUGUAAAAACUUUUUGAUUGUGCCAAAAAUUCCACACAGUAAGUGAAUGUUUCUGACACUCACUGGGUUUGAAAGUGGUCUGCAGGGAAUGAACAGAUCAGUUCAGGAAAAGAUCCAAGUGAGUUAUGUGUAUGAUAAUUUACUGAAUUAGACUAGAAUGGAAAUUGUAACUAAAACUUGUUGACAGAGCCAGAGAAGUCCAUGUUGCAAUAAAAAUGUACUUGUCAUAUGUAGUAAAUGGAGACUGCUGAACAAUGUGAUUAAUGAUUUAAUUAUGAAUACUGAAAGAAUAAAGAAUUACCCUGUUCUACAGUCAAGUAUCACCUACAGAAAUUUUGCUAAUUGAGCUUAGAUACUUGACUUCGUGAAAAGCAAGAAAUACUGCUUUAAGUAUUAGUUGCUUGUCUUUUUUUUUUUUUUCAACACUUUGUGUGAUGAUAUAUAGGAAGUGAACUGAUAGCUAAUCAUGGGUCAAAUGAUGUGAUAUUUAUCAAAUUUUUGAAAGUGGCAGAGAAAGUGCAAUUUGAAGGGCAGUCUGUUUCCUGUUGUCAGCAGGGCUAGUAAAGUGAAACACAUCAUUUUGGUCAGGGUUCUGAACAGCCAUGAUGCCCAUCUGAACAUUGUGCGCUGACAUGGCAGAAUGCUGGCUUGUCCACGUCAGUUGUUUUCUAGUGACAUGAAAGAGGCAAAUAUUCAGAUAAAGCAAGUACAUUUCUUAUUUAAGUUCUUAGAGGGAGCAGAGGUUUAAUUUUACUGAUAAAAGUGUAGAGAAAAGCAUCUAGAGUUAACAAAUUCUACCUGCUGAUACCAUUAACUAAUGAAAAGAGAAAAAGAAUAGUCUAGUGAUGAUAUAAAAAUAUCAAAUAACCAACAAUGUGAUUUGCACUCUUUGUUUUGAGAAGAUUAUAGGUAAUAUUAAAUGAGAAAAUAUUAAAUUGUAUCACUAGUUUUGUCUCUGUUACCAGGUUUAACCUAGUUAGGAUUUGAUGAGUUUAAUAGAAUUACUAUUGACUGAUUGAUACUAUUGGAACAUUACCAUAUUAUUCAUCUAAUUUUAUAGAUUUUAUUUUUUUUUAGUUGACUUGAUGGUAUGUUGUGAUAAAGGAUCCUUUCACUUUCUUGUACAACAGUGAAAUAACUCAGUAGGUACAACAGUUAAAAGGAGAAGAGCCUUCCUGGUGAAAUAGUUCUCCUUUACUUCCCUAUGGAUCUUAGAAUGUGACGUUACUCUAUAACCAUCUGAAUAGUAUAAUAAUAUUCUUGUAGAAAUGAAAUUGAAUUCUAAUGUGAAUUACUGACUCCUAACAACUGUGACUUCAGGUAGAUUUGACUGUUCUAUUCUGUGCUUUAAACACAGUUAUCAUAGGUUUUUCUAUUUUCAUCAUUUUCCAGAAUGAAGUAAAAUAGAGAUGGGAAAAUUUGGUUUGAUUUAUCUUGUCCUUAAAACUGAAUAGAGUUGGCUGCAGAAAUCGACGAAUUGGUAAUUCAGGCUCAAAUCUGAACGAAGCAGCUUAGAACCUGCAUCUGUAACAUAGUAUAAAACUCAAGUGAGGUUAUACCCACAUUAUUGUAUUUUGUUUGUGGGUGCAAUUUGAAUAUUUUUUUCCGUAACAAAAAUAAGCUUU
ensembl:lncRNA